rnacentral:rRNA from 1 species
CCUACGGGAGGCAGCAGUGAGGAAUAUUGGUCAAUGGGCGUAAGCCUGAACCAGCCAAGUCGCGUGAGGGAUGAAGGUUCUAUGGAUCGUAAACCUCUUUUAUCAGGGAAUAAAGUGCGGGACGUGUCCCGGUUUGUAUGUACCUUAUGAAUAAGGCUCGGCUAACUCCGUGCCCGCCGCCGCCGUAAUAACGAGGAUCCGAGCGUUAACCGGAUUUAUUGGGGUUAAAGGGUGGGUAGGCGGCUGUUUAAGUUCGCGGUGAAAGUCUGUGGCUCAACCAUAGAAUGGCCGUUGAAACUGGGAGGCUUGAGUAGGUGUGAGGCAGGCGGAAUGCGUGGUGUAGCGGUGAAAUGCUUAGAUAUCACGCAGAACCCCGAUUGCGAAGGCAGCCUGCCAAGCCAUGACUGACGCUGAGGCACGAAAGCGUGGGGAUCGAACAGGAUUAGAUACCCGUGUAGUC